UUAAUGAGAGUGGUCAGUAUCUUUGAAAGAUAACAGCAAAAAAACUACUCAACAACAACAACAAAACUAACCACGGAUAACGAAAAGAGAAUGUCGGCUGAUAAUUUGUGAAUUGAAGUGUAGAAAAAAAAACAGAAGAAAAAGACGAUAACAAACUCGUUGAUAAAACGUCACACAUAAGGAAAGUAAACAAAAAUAAAACGUAAUAACUGAAAGUGUGGCCGUCAACCGCACAUACGUUCUCUUCACCGUUUUAUCUACGUCCCAAACUUCCCCGCCACCUCACCAUUCAACCACUAUGGCUGCUUUAAUCUACUGCCUGUGCAGUGCACUAAACGAUCUGUACGUCUUUACACAUGCCUUCCAGCGUUGUAAUUGCGACUACCAGCGAACCCUAAAGUAUCUGAGAUACAGAAAGCGGCUACUGCUGUACCAUCAGUAUUUGCGUGAUUUCCAUUUGGACUACUACUACCGUGAUUAUCGGGCGGCCAAUAACAACGGGAUAAGUGAAAAACAAAUUGCCAAAGAGGCGACGACAACGGCGAGUGAUACGCCAACAACAAUAAAAUACAAAAGUGCCAAUUUUGUGACAAGUCAGCUAGCAGAAGACAAAGGCGGAGAACAACAGCCACUGGACGAAGUUGACCAGAUUAGUUUAAGUGCCACAGCCACCACAACACCAAGAGGACGAAGAAUAAUACAAAAAAUGCAACGAGCCGGAAUUGAUUUUGCUGCCAUAGAGGCAUCAUCGGAAGUUUUUGAGGUUAUCGAUUCGUUUGGCAUCAAAUCUUCCCAGGGAGCAGCCAGCAGUGCUACCGAGGAUUUUCUGCUGGGAGAACGUAUGAAUGCCGAUUUUCGUGAGAAUUAUUUCGAGCCGGAGGACAUUGAAAUCAUUGAUGGUUUCGAGGAUGAUACUAUUCUCUACCAGGACGGCGAAGAUGAGCCGGUGUAUUCGAAUCCGAAUUUGGGCAAAUUGCACGAGGGUGUCAGUUUUACGGUGAAAGGACGAACAAAGAAACACUGUGAAAGGUUCUCCAUAAACUUCAUCAUUGAAAAUGCCACACGUGAUGUAGCCCUGCACAUUAAUCCUCGUCUACCUCAAAAUUACAUUGUACGCAAUACCAAAGUCCGCAAUGCCUGGGGUCGAGAAGAGGUAGCCUCGGCAUUGCCCUUUAGUUUAAGACGUGGCGCCGCAUUUUCCGUUCAGGUCCUAUUCACCGAAGAGUGUUACAUGAUCUCAGUGAAUGGCUAUCAUUUCUGUAAAUUCUAUCAUCGUUUGCCUUAUGAAAGUGUCCAAAGUCUCGAAGUGAAGGGUGAAAUUGAAGAUGUUACCGUUGAGCGUUUGGAGGUGCAACACUAUCCGGAACGUUUGCCGGAAUCGGUACCACAAAAGGUACGUUUGGCUAGAGCUCUGCGAGAACCAACACUGCCCGAUGCGCACACGGUGGCUGCUUACGAUGAGACUGACCGAGUUGCUGUACCCGCCGAUGCGGAAGAUGACAAAGUUAUAACCCAAUGGCGCGUUGUGAAGAAGGCCAAUGGUGACAUUGAAUAUGAACCGAAAAUUGUAGCAUUAAAUGAAAUCAAGUUACCCUAUUAUGGUACCAUACCGCGUAAUUCAUUCCAGCUGGGCCGUGUACUUAAGGUGGAGGGACGUGUUCGAUUACUGCCACAAUCGUUCUACAUAAACAUGCAGUCGGGCCACAAUUGUUGGCCCCAUCCCGUUGUAGCGUUGCAUUUAAAUCCACGUUUUACCAAACAAAGUUCCGGUGCCAUUGGCCGUGCCACAGUGAUACGCAACUCAUGGAUCGAUGGCAAUUGGGGUCAGGAGGAACGUUCCGAUUUGGAGACGAAAUUCCUGCCCGGCAAACCGUUUAGUUUGCAAAUUGUCCAUGGCGAUGAUUCGUUUAAGAUUUAUGUCAACCAUCAACUGCUGACCGAAUAUAAGUUCCGUGUCAGUCCCAGUACAAUUGAUACGAUUUAUAUUCAGGGUGAUAUCAAGCUAUUCGAUGUAGCUUUGGAGCCAUAUUCGAAAUCGGUUUAAAUGCCUGAGCUUUAUGUAAUGGGAGAGAAGAACAAAAGACGAGUGGAAAACGUAACGACAAGAGCCUGUUUGGAGGAGAUGGUGUAUGAAGAGGAAUAAGAUGCGGGGAGAGAUAUGGUCUUGCUUUGAAUGCGCCGCCACAAUUUGCUGAAGCUUGUUGGUUGUUAAAACAAUUCCGGCUGGGGAAAAAAGAAACUCCCAAAUUCCCCGACAAAAAAAUACACAAAAACCCCCCUUAAAAUAUACCAAAACUAAACAAAAUAUAUACAUCUUUGUUAUUUAGUUUUUUAGGCUUACAAUUUAUUGUUAAUGUGAAAAAAGAAAAAAAGAAAACCCAUUGGCUUUUAUAAAUCAGAAGACAUACAAAUACCAAAAUUAGGAAAAACGUAACUCAAAAGAAAAAUUUUGAACCAAAAAAGAUGAAAUCUAAAAUAUUUUCAAAAAAUCUAUAUAUAAUUUUUUCUUAAAAAGAGAGACAGACAAUAAAUUUAUUCCUAUUAAAACAAAAACUCUAAUUGUCGAAAGUAAAAAAGCUAAUACCAUUUAUUCUAACAAUCUAACACAACAUUUAAAGAAAAAACCCUAAAAUAUAAAUUAUUUUAAUUCCGAUAAUGUAAUAUUAUCUCAAAAUACUAAUUCUCUUGCUAAUAUUUAUAUUUAAACAAAAAAGAAAACUAGACGGCGAAUUGAUACAAAGGAAUUUAAUAUGAUAAAGAACAAAAAAAAAAAAAAAAAAACAAAAUCUAAUAGCCAGGACUCUUUUUUUACCAAAAUCACAUAUUUUAAAACCAAAAUACACACACACACAAACACUGAUAACCAUUCGUGUUUUUUAUAUAAAGUUUUCCAAUGUUACAAUUUUAUGCAGGUAUAACAAAUAAAAGAAACUUAUGCUCUCACAUAUAUAUGUCCAUAUGUAUGUAUGAAUGUAAAAUAUUUAUAGUAUAUAGUACUCGAAAUUUUGUUUGGGGUUCUGUGUAAUCCCAUAUUUGAAACAACCUAUAAACCACAA